UACGUAGGGGGCAAGCGUUGUCCGGAAUCAUUGGGCGUAAAGAGCGUGUAGGCGGCCAAGCAGGUCCGUUGUGAAAACUGGAGGCUUAACCUCCAGAGCGUCGACGGAAACCGCGUGGCUAGAGUCCGGAAAGAGGAGAGUGGAAUUCCUGGUGUAGCGGUGAAAUGCGCAGAUAUCAGGAAGAACACCAAUGGCGAAGGCAGCUCUCUGGGACGGUACUGACGCUGAGACGCGAAAGCGUGGGGAGCGAACAGG
rnacentral:rRNA from 1 species